UCACUUUCAAGUUGUGUUUUAAACACUUUGUUUUUUGAGUCCUAUCAUCUUUAGGUUUUCCCUUCUCCAUUGUAGAGGUCUUUUGUGAUUUCUGGAGAAAUAGACAGGAGGGUUGUGCGUAUAUUUAUUCAUAUUGCUUGGUAGUGAGCCCCUUGGUUAGGCUCUAACAAGCACAUCCAGUGUAUUUCAAUGGAAGGGUGUGCUAAUUGUCUCACAUCCAUUAGUUUGUAAGGGAUUUGUUAGACUUUAUCGCUCACCUAAGCGACCCAAGUUUAAUAUACAUAAUCUAAAGGCUACUCCACCUAUAGCCAAUUGGUUUUAGGUUGGAUGGCUCAAUCAUUUCUAAGAUGGUAGUAGAGCUAGGUUUUAGGUGGGUCUCACGUGGUCAAGUUUCUGCCUGAGUCGGCUCUCCGGCUAGCCAAUUGUCUCAACCAUCUUUUUGUUUCCUCCACGUGCAUCUGGGCUGCACUUGCGGGGGAGUGUUAGACUUUGUCGCUCACCUAAGCCAUCCAAGCUUAGUAUAUAUAAUCUAGAGACUACACCACCUAUAACUAAUUGGUUUUAGGUUGGAUGCCUCAAUCAUUUCUAAUAGGAUUCAAUGGUGACUUUGAUGGAGAGUUUAAAUGGCUUUUCACAUGGAUAGAUGAAAAGCAUCACACCAUCACUGCAUUGUUGGCAUGCAGCUUGGUGAUGUGGAUAAAUGCUUGGUGCUAAGAUCGUUGUUGUGGAUUUGUGAUCGUGGUGUUCUAGGCUUCUAGCAAAGAAACAUAGCUAGAGAGUUUCCAGGAAGAUCGUAACAGAUGGGUUGGACCGUUGGAGAUUGGAACUACGGAACUUCUCAUGGAAUUUGAGUUGCAGGAUCUCUUUUUGGAUCUUAGGUACUUGUCCACAUGAUUUGCAGCUAGUGGUUUUAGCUUCAUUUUCGAUGUUUAAUCUUACAGUGGGUUUUCAAUUCAGAUUGACUGCGGGUUUAUUAUUCACUAUUUGAAGAUUUUUCCCUCCCAAAUUUCCGUAUUGUGAAUCAUUCUCCCAUGUGAUUACUUAUUACAUUAUGAAUGAAUGCUUCUAGUCACUGUUGUAAUUGAUUUAAGUAUUGGUGUCGUUAUCGAAUAUCAAGUGUUCAGUUUGCAUAAAUUAAAAUAUGAUUUUAAUUCUAAAAUAACUCACCACAAUGGCGAAUUUUGUGGUUUCAAAUGAAAGGACAAUUUGAAUGGCUUAAGUUUUGGGGACAAUUGGUGAUCUAACAUGGAAUCAGAACUCUCUGGAUCCUGGAAUUUCUGGGUUCAAGGCUUGCUACCUAUUUUUCGUUCUCGGUUAUGUUUGUUAUUUUGCACUUUGUUCUGUGUAUGUUUGCACGCACCAGAUUAAGCUCAGUUUGUUCACCUCUCCGUAUGUGAGGCAGGGUUGACAUGUGAAGGGGUGUGUUGAAUUGCUUGAAAUACAUCAUUGGGCUCAUUUCCUAAUAGCUUAAGCUUUUGAGGCAAUUGGUGAUCUAACGAACCACAAAGUGUCGCAUUAUUCUAUAUGAUUUUUUUUAUAGCAUCGAUCUUAUUUUAUGGCUACAUUAAGUCCUUUCAUUUACUUGGAAACAUGCUCACUAGGUAGCCUUUCCAUUUAGUUUGGAAACCUACUCAAAUGGGUUUUGCUGUUAGAUUGGGUGGAAAGCUAGGGAAGGAAGCAAAACCAAUAUGAUGUAUAAAACAACAUAAGAAGGAUUAUUUAAAAUAACGAAGUCAGUUCAAGAAGAUGAGAGAAGUAUGAAGGAUAAGCUUUUAGAACUACUCGAUGAGGAUUGAUGGCAAGUUGAUUAAGUAUAACAUGACGGUUUGCUGAAUACCCAAAGGGAUAGUCUAAAGCACAAAACUACAAGGAUUUGAAGUUCAAUGUCGAUCAACUAUUCGGCUACAACCUAGUCUCAUUUUGUAUGAUGAGGACUGGAAAAUUGGAGGUCCAGGGCACAUAAAUUUUUCUUACUUUGGUUUUUGAUAUCCACUCCUAUGUUCCAACUGCAGUCCAGUUAUUACGAGAUAAUGCUAUUGAUUUGGAAAUGGAUAACCAUGAAAUUAAUUGAUAUCAAUGUGUUGGCGAAGAGGUCUCAGGUUACAAUUCUGUAGGUUGUAUGAUUUAGCUUGUUGAAAUUUUUUGACUCAUAAACAUAUACAUGGUUUCAUGAUGGAGUUCUCUAAGAUGACAGGUGACGUUUUUGGUAUUAUGAAGUUAAAUUCAUAAACAAGCAUUGCCAUGGAUUGUUGGAGAAGCUAUCAAGAUCUUUUAUGGUGGAGUGAUACAAAGCACAUUGCUAGCUUAGAUAGCCUAUUACUGGCCAUGUAUUUUUGAAGACGAUGUACAUUUAUUACGUGGCAGAAAAAAUCUAAAAGUGAAUUUUUUUGCAUGGUCUACAGCUCAUAUGAAACUCAAUGCCAGUGGCAUGUUUCAAAAGAGAAGGCCUACCUGCAAUUUAUUUCCUCAAGGAUGCAUUAUGUGUUGGAGGAAAGAUACGAGUAUCGUUUAUUUAUUUCCACAUUGCCAUGUGGCAUGACGUUAUGAUGUUGUCUUUUAGUUGGCAGAGGUUGACUGGGUUGCAGGUUCAUGUGUCCAGAUUGCGAUUUCAAAAUAGCACAUGGUUUGUUUGAACUAGCCAAUAGCAUGCCACCUGCUGUGGUGGGGCAGCUUUGAAGUGAAUUUUUGGUUUUUGAGUUUGAUACAUGUGAACACUGUUGUGUGAAGGCUACUCAAACCAGCUGGUUUGCAUUAUGUAUCUCUCCAACCUGGAAUUGAUGAUGUUAGAGCAACUAACCGGUUUGGUUUAGCAAAUAUUAAGGUCAUGCGUCCGGGACUUCGAUACUCAAAAUUUCAACUAACAGAACAAACAUUAACUUUAAAUGGUGCCUUCAAGCACAUGCCGUAACAAUGUACAUACCUUAUCAUUGUUACUGGCAAGUAGUAUGAGGCUUUUAAAAGAGGUGUGGACACCUCAAUUUUCAUUGGUCACUCGAUGAGGACCUUGUCAAUGUGCAGAUUAUAUGAAGAUUUAUAAUCACCAUGCUAACUGUUUCUUCUUCAGUUAUCCGAUGUGGGAUUACGGUAUUUUUGUUUACAUAGUGACAGAACUACAUUGUUUUUAUAUUGGAUUGUCUCCUUGUCAGCUAGUCCCUAAAAGAUGUUGUGAUUGAGAGAAGAAGCUUUGUACAUAACCAUAUUUUUCAUUUUUUGACUUUAAUUUCUUUGUUCAUAAAACAAGCAAAACAUGUUUUUAGAUGUUACGACAUUGGUUAAAAGAUGAGAAAUUAAGUCUAAAAUUUUUGAAAACCAUGUAUCAUUGAGUUUUAAGUUUUAGAGAUCGUUGUUGAUUUAAGUAAAUUCAUGUCUGCGACACUGAUUCCGGAUAUGUAUUUCAACAAGUUUUAUCUUUGCUCGAGCGUUGUUAGCAUUUUUCUUUUGCAUGUCCGGGGAGUUUGAAAAAUCCAAAUAACCCAUGUUACUGCAAUGAACUACUGUGUGGGAGAUUCCUAGAGCUGCUAAGGUUGAGUUGUUUUGGAAAGGUUAGAAAUCUUUAAUCAGGAUUGACUUGUGAAUUCAUUCCUUUUGCUUAGGUGGGAAGCAGCACUAGUUCCGAAAGUGACGGUCGACAAGCUUGAAAGAAGUAAGUUGAACAAAGAACAGACUGUGUAUAUACCCAAAAUACCUGAUAUUGAGAAGUGUCCAGGGCAUUUGUUGCCACUUAAAAAGUGGGAAGAUGCAUUUAUUGCUGAUUUUUCAGACCUAGGGAUGGUAUGUUUCUUCUGCCAAUUUUCUAGUGUUUUUAUUUGUUUAUUACAAUUCAUUGCAAUUGGGUAAUUAGUUAAGAAAAAAGAACCAAAGAAGAAAACAAGAAAUGCUAAAUGUAUCUGUCUCUCUUCUUACGAAGAACAUUCAUAACAUUUUCAUACUUCCCAAUGUAGAUCAAGAAUUUCUCAUUUUGGGUAAAAAUAAAGACCUACUUUUCUAUUUUCUUCAUGAGCAAGAAAAAGUUUAGUAAUGAUGUGAAGAAAAUAGUGCAAAAAGUCCACCAAGAAUAGAUAAAAAAAAAGGAAAAUUACAAAUCACAUUCUGGUCUGCAAUCACUAUCAGUCAAAAAUAGAUGGAUUUCCUUAAAAGGCAUUGAAUCCUAUAGACAACAAAUAAUUUUGUCCAAAAUCCCAUCUAUUUCCUCAAAAUUAUUACCAAAAUUUCACAUUUCUUUCCAACCACGAAUUUUUUGGAUUUUAUUAUAGCAAAGGAAAUGAUGGAUUUUACCUUCGGAGGUUGGUAGAUAUUAUACAUUACGUAAUUCAAAGACUUCUGGAUCUGACCAUGUUCCAGUGUGGCUUUACUGUGGGGGGACUUCAGCUAAUGUACUACUACAUUUCUUUUUUAGAAGGAGGGCUUUGUGGAUUUGGUGAAAGGGUGUUGGGAAGAUUUUAGGGUGGAUGCACCUGGAUGGUAAUCUAGGUUAUUGUCUAGCUAAGAAGUUGAAUGUGCUUAAACAAGAUACUAAAUCUUAGAACAUGGAGAAUCGGAGAUCUUUGGUAGGGUAGAAGUGAAUACAACUAGAUUGCUUGAACUCCUCCUCCAGUGGUUUUAUGAUAAGAAGGGAGUGGAAGGGUUUUUGGUGGAAGAGAAAGGGGGUUUGGACAUAAAAGAACGCAACAGUAGGCAGACAUGAUUUUGAUGGAGGUUGGUUGUGGAAAAAAAAUUAGAAUCGCAUAUAUUAGAGGAGAUUGAAACAGAAAAGAGGAAAUGCUUCCAUAAGAUGGAUGACGUUCGUAGGCUAAUAUGAUUGGGCACUUGGUCAUUGAUGGAUCAGAUUUUGCAGUUAUUGCUUUUCCAGUACCUCGUCGUGACAUGAGCGUGAAAGAGGUUCGAGAAUACGGUUUCUGCUGGUAUAUUGAAUUCCUAUUCUUGGUUGUAAGUUAGGUGGCCUGUUCUACUUUUGGAUGAGUUAGAAUUUACACGCACACGCACACACACAUGUUGAUGGAGAUUGGCUUGAGAGACCUUCCUCAUGAGAAGAGGAAGUGGUGGUGUUGAAUAGAUGAAAUGGCGAAGUCUGAAUGGUUUUAGAUUGGCACGAAUGUUUGCUGAGACGUGAUAGCAGUGUUCAACUCCUUUAAUGUGAGUCUUGGAGAGGAACUUUAAUCCUCUUGUAUAGCAUUGAUUAUAAAGAAAUGGGGAGUGAAGGACAAGAUUUCUGACCUAUUACACUGGUUAGCAGUGUUGACCAACUCAUUACCAAAAUUCUAGCUUUGAGAAUGAAAAAGGUGAUUUAGGGUGCAGGGGUUGAUAAGGGUCAGAAUACAUUUGUGAGGUCUGUUUUAGUAGCAUAUGAGGUGGACACUAUCUUGUGUAAGAUGGGACACGGAAAAGCUUGUGAUCUUGUGGUGCUGGAAGUUUCUUUUCCUUCUUUUGCAGAAUAUGGGCUUUGUGGGUCAUUGGAGAAUAUGUAGUUUUUGUGUGAACAGAGGCAUGAGCUUUUGUUCACUAAUGGUCCUUGCUAAGAUAUGGAUUGUCCGGUUGAUUCAAUACCUACUACAGUACUACUAGCUGCGAAUUUCCGUUUGGGUCUCCGUUUAAAGCGAAGGAAGAGUCUGUUGGGUUAGUGGAGAGAUCUAAGAGUAAAUUUUCUACUUGAAAGAAUUAUUUUUCCACGAGGGUAGGUUGACCUCUCUCUACAUGACGAACAUUAUUGAUGUCUAUUGUAUGUAUUCCUUGUUCAGCGGCUAAAAAGUUGGAGAUGCUAUAUAGACUCUUUCUAUUUUUUGGGGGGAGUUCGAGUACUAGUUGAUGAGUUGGAAUAGAUUUUGUUUACCUGUUCAAAGCAGACACCUGGGAUGUGUAUGUUGGGAGUUAUUUAAUAAAAAAUUAUUACUAGAUGGUUAUGGAGGUUAUUGGAAGAUGUGCACUUAUGAAGAAAACUGGUCAUAGGAAGAAAUGGAAGUACUUGGGACUGGCAGUUGCAGAGGUAUGGGGCCCGUUAAGUGGGUUCAGAGAAUGCAUCGUAAGAGUUUGCGAUGAACGUGCUAAAAGGAUCUUGUAUAAGCCGGAAAAUCAGGAGAAAUUGAGAUUUUGUCUUGAAGCAUGGUGUGGCCGAAAAGCUGUAGACCUCUAAGAGAGGUGUGCUUGGAUUUGUUGACCUUGGCAUUGGAUAGGAAUCCUUCAUUGCAGGAGUGCAUCUUUUUCUGACAGAGGAACGGAGUGGAGUGGAACCCGCUAUCAGAAUGGCCUUGAAGGAUUGGGACUAGUGGUCUAGGCCAUAUCACCCCACCCACCCACCCAUCCAAAAAAGAAAAAAAGAUGCUUAUAGGAGCUGGAGACUUGAUGAUUAUUAUGGAUGCCGUGAUUCAUGCUUUUGUUCGAAUUUGAGUGGAGGGGGAGACCUCUUCCCGUCUUAAAGGUUUCUCUCUUUUGCAUGAACAGCGGCUCACGAGCCUCUUCUGAUUGUUGAUAAACUUAGUAACAGACAGAAAGUCAUUAUUGACUGUGUUGCAUGCGCAGAUGAGCAGACAAAGUGUUGAUCAUCUUCUUUUUUAUUGUCCAGUGACCCUGGAGUUACAGGAUGUAGUUUAAAAAAAGAAGAGAAUUGAUUAAUGACUGGUGUUGCAUGUGUAAGAGGAUAAGACAAAAUGUCAAUAUUCUUCUUUAUUGUCCAGUGGCCCGACAGCUAUGCGAUUUAGUUUUCUCCCGUCUUCGGUGUUUCUGGCUUCGGCCUCGUCAAUUGUGAUUUGAGAAAAGUCAGGGAUACCCCUAAUUACUUCAUUUUUUAUUCCUUACGAGUUGAGGGUUCGACACCAAGUAUAGUGUGGGCUUACAAGUUAUGUAUGGAGCAAAAAACGAAGUAAUUUAGGAACUAUCCCUAGCACCGUUGAUUGUGAUUUGCUCACUCACGGGGGCCAUGACUGGCCUAGUAAGGAGCAGAAGGCAUGGUUUGCGUAUUUUUUGUGAUUUCAUUUAAGGAACACAAUAGGGCUUUUGAGGGUUUCCAUAAUAGAUUGAGAUGAACCUGUGUACUGUGUUUUUUCGCCGAGAAAGGAUUGUCUAUUCUCUGUUUUGUCUUUCGUUCAAUUUAUUGGAUAUUUGUAUGCUAUGAGGUCUUUUCAUUGUACAGUGUGGCUUUUAUCAUUGCUUUUGUUCGAUUGUACUUGCGAAUCAAUGUAUAUUCAUAAAUAGAUCAUAUAUACAGAAAUAUGAACUGUUUCCAUCAUUUUAAAGUAUGGGAGAGCUGGAAAACCUAAUCUGAUGUAAGAUAUACAACCGAAAUGACAAUCCUUCAAUAUGUAGAGUGAUACGUGUGUCUUAUAUUAUAUAUGAAGAGAACUAACUGACUUCACUUUCUUACUUUCCCUUUUCAGGCUCUAUCACGUCUCGAGGGUUCUAGCUCUGAGAUAUUUGCUAAACUGCAGUUUCCAUUUACUACCCAUCGAGAAGAAAGUUCCAACCAGCUUCCCGAAAGUAUCAUUUUUGAAAAAUUUGAUAACGCAACCUCUGUCGGAGUUGAGUUCUCUGAGGCUCUUGAUUUUCCCAUCCCUGAAAAUUCUCUCAGCCCACAACCCGUCUCCAUCAUUGCUGAAAACAAUGCCACCCCCUCUCUUGAAAAUUCCAAUCCUAAAUCUUCCGUUUGUGGAAGUAGUAGUGAUGGUCCUACUUUGUUUGCUAUUCUAGGGAUGGACUCGGUUGUUCGAUUGGCAAUGCUGAGGAAACGGAUAGACUUAGUUGAGAAAAUGAGCUGUCUGUCGAGGAAAAAUUGUGUGUGGCUAUUCUCGCUGUGUGCUGCAAUCGACACCCCAUUGGAUGCUGACACGUGCGCGGCUCUUAGGUGUUUGCUCAGGAAAUGCUCGAGCUUGUGGGCUGGGAAAUCUGAAUUGGAUGACGAAGUUGUCAUUCUUAAUAUUCUUGCUACAAUCACUAGUAAGUACUUUGGGCAGUCAGAAUUUUGAAGGUUCUAGUUUUAUCAAGUGAGUGUUAGGGCCAUAGAUUGGUUUGGUCUUAAGCAUUUGAACUUAGAUUCUCAAUUUAGUUUGCUCAGAAUGUUGCUUCAUUAUGAACACUCGGCAUUGACGAAACUUGGGCUUUGUUUGGAUCUUGGAUUUGUGGAGGGAAAAGGUAAGGUAUGGGAAAGCUAUUCAAGCAUAUCCAAAUUCUUCCUAUCUUUUUUAUAUUUCCCCUCCAAAAAUCCGAGAUCCAAACACAGCCUUCCGGAUUUUGUUAUGACAAAGUGCACAUGGCAGUUGAUAUAUUAUGUACUUUAGUUUUGACUCAAUUUUGUUUGCUUGGGUAUCUAUGAGGCAAUUUUUGACUGCUAUCCUUGGCUCUUGGAUACAUAUUAUAGGGAAAUUUACCAAAAGUCCAACUUGGGAGAUUAUUGAAACUAUUUGUAAGCCCAAACUGUUUGGGACAUUGUAAGUUCAUGGUUUUAUAAGUUUUAUAGCCAAAAGUCACUUAUUUUGGUAUAAAAUCAUCUUAUUCCAAUUUAUAUUUGGUGUUGGUUAAAAGUUCUGAGAGUAUGUGUAUUUGAGAAAAAAUUCGAUAGUGGAAAAUCAAAAACCUCAAUUACCAAAUUUCAAAUCUUAAAAUUCAUGUUUGAUUGUGUUUUAAAUCUGGUUUGUGUGGACUCUUUUUAUAUUACUGUUUGAUUUUUUUCAUAUUAGUUGAUUUUCAUAUUAGUCAAUGAGAAAAAUAUCAAAAAAUGUAUUACUCCUUGUUGACUAGGUAUAAUUCUAUUAUCAAUAAUUGUUGUUUGGUAACUUGCCAAGGUGGGUUGUAAAUUUCUCAUUUUAAUUGAUUUGUAGCCUCAACGACGGGAGCUUCUGAAUGGAAGUUCAGCGAAGUAAACUCUUAGGUAU
rnacentral:lncRNA from 1 species